rnacentral:rRNA from 1 species
AUGAACGCUAGCGACAGGCCUAACACAUGCAAGUCGAGGGGCAGCACAAGGAGCAAUCUGAGGUGGCGACCGGCGCACGGGUGAGUAACACGUAUGCAACCUGCCUGUAAGCGGGGAAUAACCCGUUGAAAGACGGACUAAUACCGCAUAAUACUAAAUUACUGCAUGGUAAUUUAUUUAAACAUUUAUGGCUUACAGAUGGGCAUGCGCAUGAUUAGCUAGUUGGAGAGGUAACGGCUCCCCAAGGCAACGAUCAUUAGGGGUUCUGAGAGGAAGGUCCCCCACACUGGUACUGAGACACGGACCAGACUCCUACGGGAGGCAGCAGUGAGGAAUAUUGGUCAAUGGACGAGAGUCUGAACCAGCCAAGUCGCGUGCAGGAAGAAUGUUCCCUAUGGAUUGUAAACUGCUUUUGCGAGGGGAAUAAAGUGCAUCACGUGUGAUGUUUUGUAUGUACUCUGCGAAUAAGGAUCGGCUAACUCCGUGCCAGCCGCCGC